rnacentral:lncRNA from 1 species
GGGGGGUCCAACAGAGCCUCAGGCUCCAAUUACUUCAUCGGCUUGUAGCCUGUUUGGACUGGAGCUCCUGCACCCCAUGUCAAGCUGGAAAUUGCGCUUUCUAUCAGCACAGGGACAAGCAAAGAAUGGCAUUCAAUAAUGCCUAAGCUACCGCCCGGUGUGGCAAAGAAGCAGGAAGGACCUAGGCACCAAUUAGCCAGGCAACUGUGGCCAUCAAUCAAGAGCGUCCUGGCUCCCAGCAUGUGGGUCGAGCCUGGCCCUGCCAUGGAAAUCACACUGCAAACCCAUCCCCAGAGGAGGGUUGGGACAGCUAACCCUGCAAAGUGGCAAGGACUAUCAUUCCAGCAAGUUGGUUCAACUCCACAACCUGGAGGAAUCAGAUUCUCUUGCCAACAGUCCACAGCCCAACCAUCAAACAGGAAUAGAGAUGGUGAUCAUCCCACAAAGAAGUCAGCAGCUCCUGGAAGUGCCUGGAAUAAUGAGACUCCCAUGCACCCUCCCACUCCAUUUUCCAUUCUAGAAACAUUCUAUUUCAAUGCGCUCUCCUCCUUUUCAUACUUAUUUUCCAUCUGGGCACCCAU